rnacentral:rRNA from 2 species
AUCUAAGUACCCCGAGGAAAAGAAAUCAACCGAGAUUCCCCCAGUAGCGGCGAGCGAACGGGGAGGAGCCCAGAGCCUGAAUCAGCAUGUGUGUUAGUGGAAGCGUCUGGAAAGGCGCGCGAUACAGGGUGACAGCCCCGUACACAAAAGCGCAUGUGUUGUGAGCUCGAUGAGUAGGGCGGGACACGUGGUAUCCUGUCUGAAUAUGGGGGGACCAUCCUCCAAGGCUAAAUACUCCUGACUGACCGAUAGUGAACCAGUACCGUGAGGGAAAGGCGAAAAGAACCCCGGCGAGGGGAGUGAAAAAGAACCUGAAACCGUGUACGUACAAGCAGUGGGAGCACAGGUUUACCUGUGUGACUGCGUACCUUUUGUAUAAUGGGUCAGCGACUUAU